AACAGGAAGUGCAAUGUGUUCACUCUGCUUUCAUCAAUGCUUCAAGAGGUGGCCGCUCACAGAUGAAAUAGACUGCACAUGUGAAGCUGUCGCCUGAAGAACCCUGAGGACUUCUGGAACCAGACAGUCACGGUCAAUGAGCAAAAUGGAAGCAAAAACAAACAAAAAAAACCAACAUGACCUCUGGCUCAGGAAGGUCAGCCUUUAAAUACUCCCUAAUAUACAGUGUAUUUGCUUUCUGAGCCUCAGGGAAACUGAGACUAUUAGGCAGACAUUAUGUCUUCAUUUAGUUAGAUGCAGAGCCGCUUCAUCGCCAACCGGAGCCAAUAAUGCCCCGCAGCAUUCAGUGACCCAAUCGCCAUCAGACAUUCAGCCAACCCUCAGACAGAAGGUGUCUUGAAGCUGGCUCAACUAGUCUGGGACUAGCCUCAAACAAGAACAUGGGCAGAGUAUAGCAUGAUAAGCAGUGCAAAUAAUAGCAGAGUUGAUUUAAUGAUAUAGUCAGAGAAUUGCUACCCCCUGCUGUUAUGACACAAAUACUGCCACAAAAUAC
rnacentral:lncRNA from 1 species